rnacentral:rRNA from 1 species
AUACGGAGGGUGCGAGCGUUGUUCGGAAUUACUGGGCGUAAAGGGCGCGCAGGCGGCUUGAUAAGUCAGAUGUGAAAGCCCACGGCUCAACCGUGGAAGUGCAUCUGAAACUGUCUGGCUUGAGUACUGGAGAGGAAAGUGGAAUUCCUGGUGUAGAGGUGAAAUUCGUAGAUAUCAGGAGGAACACCGGUGGCGAAGGCGACUUUCUGGACAGAUACUGACGCUGAGGCGCGAAAGCGUGGGGAGCAAACAGGAUUAGAUACCCUAGUAGUCC